ensembl:snRNA U6 U6 spliceosomal RNA
GUGCUCUCUUCGGGAGCACACAUCCUAAAAUUGGAACGAUACAGAGAAGAUUAGCAUGGCCCCUGCAUGACAUGCAAAUUCGUGAAAUGUUCAAUAUUUUU